CUAUCUUGGCCGGGUCAUGAUUCAAUGUUGACCAAGUCAUGAUUGACAACAUAUGCCCAUCCUAUCUUGGUCGACCAGGAUUGCAUUGCGCCAGGAUAUAUUACUUCCAAACGCAGCCAAGAUUUCUUCAAGCGUCAAUCCUGGCCAAGUCAGGAUGUAUUUCUUCAAACGCAGUCAAGAUUUCUUCAAGCGUCAAUCCUGGCCUAGUCAGGAUAACAUUGCGCCAGGAUGUAUGACUUCCAAACGCAGUCAUGAUUUAUUCAAGCGUCAAUCCUGGCCAAGUCAGGAUGUAUUUCUUCAAACACAGUCAAGAUUGCAUUGCGCCAGGAUAUGUGACUUCCAAACGCAGUCAUGAUUCGCUUUAGUAUGGUAAUAUGUAAGCGCUUCCCUAACACCGAAAAACCGCUGAAAUGUGUAUUGGGUUUCCAACCUCCCCGUUCGUCUCAGCUGACAAGUAAGUACCACGUAACAGUAAUUUGUGUGUACUGAACCAUCAACAUAUUAAACUGCAGAUCCAUACCGGCCAAGACUGGUGAUAGAUAUGUAUAGUAUUUUAGAUUGACGCAUGCUCAGCUGACUGGGGACUAUGAGUAUGGAAAACCAUUUUGCAGAAUUAGGAAUGUGCAGCUGAAAGUGGUCAAAGAUCAAAGGCCAAGACUGAUGUCAGCUUGAAAGAAACCACUCUGUGCAUUGGAUUUGCUAGAUAAAAGAUGAUGAAUUAAUGCACCAGUUUCAAGUCCAAAGAUCGAAAAGCACCAUUUAGGUCAAGGUCAACUCCAAAUAUUGGUUAAAACCUAAUUUGUACCAACAACUGAUUCCAGAAGAGGACACCCAUAAAAUAGCUAAACAGGAUUGAUGUGGAAGCCCGGAUGCUUAGCUGUGCCACUGAUUUCAUUUCCUGUGGAUAUUGUGUGCUUGGUGCAAUGCAAUAAGGACAUAUAAAUCAUAGAAUUCACAUGAAUAAUAUGAAAAGAGAUUGCUUUGGCAAAACUCAUUUUAUAUAUUUUAGAAUAACUUUGUCAAAGAUCAAGUUUGUUCGGAUGGCAUUCUGAUGCAAUAACAUAUUUUUAUGCAUAAAAUCUUGUUACAUGUAUUUACUUAAAUGGUCAAAGGAUCAAGACACUUGAUAUGGGUUUUAAUGAAGCACACUUACUUUGGUAUUGUUAAGUUAAUUGGAAUAUUUUCACUUUGUAUAA